rnacentral:lncRNA from 1 species
ACCUCUUUUAAAGAAAUAAUUCAUUUGUCAUGACCAGUUGACUGAUCCAGUAGUUGCAUUUAAUGUUUUUAUGUUUACAUUGAAGAUUUUUUCACUAAUGUACUGUUAUUGAACAUCUUUCAUGAAUUAUAAGCUGUAAAAUAUUUUAAUCCUUGACUCAUUUGUUUACCAAGCUAUUCAUUUAAUGCUAUAUAAUAUGUAGCACUUGAGACCAUCUGUUAG